rfam:Madurella mycetomatis strain mm55 MMYC01_Sc2296, whole genome shotgun sequence.
GUCACUUUGGCGGAGUGGUUAACGCGCUGCCCUGCUAAUGCCUGCAUUAGCUGCCUAGGCAGUUCCUUCGGGAGCGUAGGUUCGAAUCCUACAGGUGACG